rnacentral:rRNA from 1 species
CCUACGGGAGGCAGCAGUGGGGGAUAUUGCACAAUGGGGGGAACCCUGAUGCAGCGACGCCGCGUGGGUGAAGAAGCGCCUCGGCGCGUAAAGCCCUGUCAGCAGGGAAGAAAAUGACGGUACCUGAAGAAGAAGCCCCGGCUAACUACGGGCCAGCAGCCGCGGUAAGACGUAGGGGGCAAGCGGUAUCCGGCUUGACUGGGUGUAAAGGGGGCGCAGACGGCGAUGCAAGCCAGGAGUGAAAGCCCGGGGCCAAACCCCGGGACUGUUCGUGAAAUGGCGUGGCUGGAGUGCAGGGGGGGCAGGCGGAAUUCCUGGGGUAGCGGUGAAAGGCGUAGAUAUCAGGAGGAACACCGGUGGCGAAGGCGGCCUGCUGGACUGCAACUGACGUUGAGGCCCGAAAGCGUGGGGAGCAAACAGGAUUAGAUACCCCAGUAGUC